UACGUAGGGUGCGAGCGUUAAUCGGAAUUACUGGGCGUAAAGCGUGCGCGGGCGGUUUUGUAAGCCAGAUGUGAAAUCCCCGGGCUUAACCUGGGAAUGGCAUUUGGGACUGCAAGGCUCGAGUGCGGCAGAGGAGACUGGAAUUCCUGGUGUAGCAGUGAAAUGCGUAGAUAUCAGGAGGAACACCGAUGGCGAAGGCAGGUCUCUGGGCUGACACUGACGCUCAUGCACGAAAGCGUGGGGAGCAAACAGG
rnacentral:rRNA from 1 species